AAGACUAUACUUCACGGGAUCAUUUCUGUAGUAUGUCUUCAUUAUCUUUCGAAACAAUUCGAAAGAGUAUGCAUCUGCGAUGACGAGGAAUAUCGUUCAUUCUGUAGCGUGAGGUUUGACUUUUGUCUUUUUGCGACUUUGUCGUGAUGGACGAAAUGUCG
rnacentral:snoRNA from 1 species